UUCGUAUUUGCAGGUCUUGACGGAGCAAGUGGGCAGGUAGGCAGGUGGCAGCGGCGGUGGUAGAGCAAGUGGACGACCCUAGGUGCGGCGCACCUAGAGUUAGGUUUUUGUUUUUUUGCUGAAAAUGUUUGGGCUUAGAGCUGGGUAAUUUUUUUUUCAUUUGGGCUAUUAAUGGUUUGGGUUUGUUUUAUUGAUUUGGUUACUGGGUCGGGCAAAAAUUGGGUUGUACAGCUGCUCUUUACUCAUUGUCGUGUAACGGGAAUGAAGCAAAGACUAAGAAAGACCAAUUUUGCCCGGUCUUGCCGAUUCUUGACUUGUUCUGGUACUUCUCUUCUUCAAGUAGCUUCAUUCUAGUCCACUGCGUCUUG
rnacentral:lncRNA from 1 species